rnacentral:piRNA from 1 species
UCCACAGACAAAUGGAUGGACGACAACAG